AUGCCAGAAUUCAUGCACCUGUUCACACUCCCAGACCAUAUGCAGGAACGUUCCAGUUUGUUCAGGUUGACAGAAAGUACAAUGGAGUGGGAAUGGCUUUCGAGACGUAUUUCUUCUGAGGAGUCCAAUAUGUCCUAUGGAAUAUGUUGAAGUGGAUAUACUGGUGAUUUGGGUUCUUGGAACAGUGGAAAAUAUCCCAAACUGCCUCCCAAUUAAUUGUGAUCCCCUCAGGGCUCAGCUCUCAUUCCCAUUUCUUUACUAUUGGGGGUUCUUUAUUUUAAUUUUUAGACUAUUAGUUUAUCUUUUAAAUGAGUUUUGGCAGUUGUGUGCUGUGUGUUUGUGAGUGAAUGAGUCUGUGAGUGGAAAAUGAAACAUUUAUUUUACACAAACCACAUUCAAACUCCUGAAUGUCAGGAGGGAGAACCUCCAUGCUUUUUGUGCACAUGAUAUGAGGUACAGUAUAUCGCAGCCACAGAGAAAGUUUUAUUUUGGCGGGGCAGAUGAUAAUUACAAGAUAAUGACACACCAGGCACACAUGCAAUGAGGCAGGUGGAGAGCUUAAACAUACCAUUAUUCACAGCUCUGAGCAUCGCUACUGUAUGUAUCUACAACAUGUAAUGUAUUUAUUUCACUAUCACUGUUUACUUUGUGAUUAAGAAAAGUGUAAAAUGCAAACUAGUGGAAGUUCACUGUGACUGGUAUGCUUUUAAUUUGAAGAAUCAGCAUCCCUUUUCUGUGAUGUGACAGUUAUAUACACAUACAAUGCAUAUAUAAAUAUCUAUAAGGGCAUGUAUUACUGUAUCAAAAUUCAAAAAGACAAAAACAAAAUGGCUGCAGUGUCUAUGGCUGAUAGAGAAUAAAAGUCUACAAAUGUA